CCAACUUUCCAAACUUCCCAGCGCAACUUUUUCCUCUCCUCCCCUGCUUGCGCCUCCCCCCUCCUCCCUCUCCUUUCCUCUCGCCAGCUCCGCGCUGGCCCAUAGCUCCGGAGCGCCACCGCCAGAGGGCGUCCGGCCUGAUGCUCUGCUCAGUGGACUUCAGGCCAAGAGGUGGAAGCUCAAUGGUCAGGCAAUGACAAAUUUGGGGACUUGGGCCAUCUUCGCUGAGCACAUACGCGAGUCUUGGCAAGAAUAAGCAGCCAGCAGGACAGGAUUUUGGUAGACACUUCGAGCAACAAGUUCAGGACUGGUCAAAAGGACAAAGUUUCAGUUACAAGGAUCGUUGUUAAUAUGAAGAAGAAGAAGAAGAAGAAGAAGAAGAAGAAGAAGAAGAAGAAGAAGAAGAAGAAGAAGAAGAAGAAGAAGAAGAAGAAGAAGAAAGAGGAAUAGGUAGCCUCAAAGUGUCUUCUGUCUGAAGAGAAAUACUUUGAUGUUUAAAAAGUCAGGAGGAGCACAUGUGGACACCUUAUGGUUGGGAGCCUCUGUGGAGGGUCUGUAUCAGAGUAGAACUCAGCUCUGCUGAUUGAGUUGGAUAAGAUGCUCUUUGCCCAGGGAUGUUCUGCUGAUUAGCUGAGCAGGUGGCAAAGUCCCACAAGUAUUGUCCUUACCAUGCUGUACACGUGGUAAGCUGGGCAUCUGUGACUCUCAUGGUACCCACUGGCAUGCUGCCUAGCUGUUUACAUUUACUUGGCCUUUAUUUUACCAAAUCCCGUGCUGGAGAGUCUGAAGAGUCUGUAUCUGGCCUUUGUCCUUUUUCAUGGCACCUUUUAGUCUAUAUACACCAUGGCUUCUCUGCUGUGGAAUGCCCUGUUUCCCCAUCAGGCUCAUUGUGUCCAAUCAAGUACACACCUUUUAUUUUUCUCAUUUCAGACUUUGGGCUGGAUCCUCAACUCCCUAUGUUUGGAAGCACCUUCUCAUAAAUCUUCUCAUGUAGUUGUCUGGACACUGCGUUGGGGAGCCUAUUUCCUCUCAAGGUGGCCUAUACUCUUGUAGAUGCUCUUAACACUGUUGAGUUAUGUAUUUCCCAGCACUGACCUGUAGCUUAUCCCCCACAAGGCCCUGCUUUUACCACCCUGGCAGCUACAUGGAACCUCUACGGUGACAGAAGUCUGCUGACAUCUUAACUUUUAUCAGAAAGGUUUUUUGUGUGUGAGAGUGAAUGUGGAGUGUGUGUGAAUGUAUGUGUGAGUGUGUGAGUGUGUGUUUGUGUAUGUGAAUGUGUGUGUAUGAGUGUGUCUGUGUA